rnacentral:sRNA from 1 species
CGUCUCGGGAGACACACCGUGAGCGGCGC